UACGGAGGGGGCUAGCGUUGUUCGGAAUUACUGGGCGUAAAGCGCACGUAGGCGGCUUUGUAAGUUAGAGGUGAAAGCCCAGGGCUUAACCCUGGAAUUGCCUUUAAGACUACAUCGCUAGAAUCGUGGAGAGGUGAGUGGAAUUCCGAGUGUAGAGGUGAAAUUCGUAGAUAUUCGGAAGAACACCAGUGGCGAAGGCGACUCACUGGACACGUAUUGACGCUGAGGUGCGAAAGCGUGGGGAGCAAACAGG
rnacentral:rRNA from 1 species